rnacentral:rRNA from 1 species
UACGGAGGGGGCUAGCGUUGUUCGGAAUUACUGGGCGUAAAGCGCACGUAGGCGGCUUUGUAAGUUAGAGGUGAAAGCCCAGGGCUUAACCCUGGAACUGCCUUUAAGACUGCAAGGCUUGAAUCGCGGAGAGGUGAGUGGAAUUCCGAGUGUAGAGGUGAAAUUCGUAGAUAUUCGGAAGAACACCAGUGGCGAAGGCGGCUCACUGGACGCGUAUUGACGCUGAGGUGCGAAAGCGUGGGGAGCAACAGG